rnacentral:rRNA from 1 species
GAUGAACGCUGGCGGCGUGCCUAAUACAUGCAAGUCGGACGCAGUUGCGAACGGUUUAGUAACGCGUAGGUAACUACCUGUUAGAGGGGUAUAACUAUUGGAAACGAUCGCUUAUACCGCCUACUUGUAGAUGGCCCUUCGUUGUAUUAGUUAGUAGGUAGGGUAAUGGCCUACCUAGGCAACGAUACAAAGCCGAGCUGAGGGGGGGGUCGGCCACACUGGGAACGGGGAAAGGGCCAGACUCCUACGGGAGGCAGCAGUAGGGAAUCUUCGGCAAUGGGGGGAAAGCUGACCGAGCAAAGGCGCGGGAGUGAAGAAGGUUUUCGGGUCGGAAAGGUCUGUUGUGAAGGAAGCGGUACUGAAAGAGAAAGGGACGGCUAACUACGUGCCAGCAGCCGCGGUAAUUC